ACUAUAAGGACGUUUAGGGCCGGCCCGUUUGGCCUAGUUUUUGAAAAAGUAAUUUCUAAAAAAGUAAUUUUGGUUUGGAGAAAUAAUUUUGAUUAAAAGCCGUAAAGCGUUUGGCUGAGUUUAGAUAAAAAUAAUUUUUCUAAAGUGAUUUUGAAAAACUGUUUAGUAAAAAUGUUUUCAUGUUUGCAUGAAUUAAUAUUUUUAUUAAAUUUUAUUUUAAAAUAAUUUAAAAUCUAAAUUUAAAUUUGAAUUAAAAUUAAAAUUUUUAAAUUUCAAAAUUAUACAAAAUUUAAAAUUUAAAAUUUUAAAAUUUAAAAUGUCAAAUUUGAAAUUUGAUUUCCAAAAUUUAAAAUUUUAAAAUUUAAAAUUUGAGAUUUGAAAUUUAAAAUUAAAAUUUAAAAUUUAAAGUUUGAAAUCUAUUUUUCAAAUAUUAAAUUUUAAAAGUUAAAAUUUAAAAAUUCAAAAAUAAAUCUUAAAAUCAAAAUUUUAAAUUAAAUUUAAAUUUAAAUUAAAUUUAAAUUUAAACAUUAAAUUUAAAAUAAAAAUAAAAAUUUGAAGUUUGAGUUCAAAAUCAGAAUCAGAUUUUAGGAAGCAGCUUUUUUUUGUUUCUGAUUCUGGGGCCUUCAAAAUUAGUUUUCUAAUUCUGAGAAGAAGAAUUAGAUUUUAAAAAUGGGAUUGUCAAACGCUCUAUUGGGCCGAAAAUCACUUUUCAACCCAAAAGCGCUUUUUAAAAGAUAGGCCAAACACUCCCUUAAUCUAUAAUAUUAAAAAAUAAGUUGUAU
rnacentral:lncRNA from 1 species